rnacentral:rRNA from 2 species
ACGACUCUCGGCAACGGAUAUCUCGGCUCUCGCAUCGAUGAAGAACGUAGCGAAAUGCGAUACUUGGUGUGAAUUGCAGAAUCCCGUGAACCAUCGAGUCUUUGAACGCAAGUUGCGCCCGAUGCCAUCAGGCCGAGGGCACGUCUGCCUGGGCGUCACGC